rnacentral:lncRNA from 1 species
AGCAAGCAAGCAAAGUCUUUAUUUUAGGAAAGCAAACAGCUCCCAGGACAGCUGGGAGGGGGAGAAGAGCCCCCCCUCUAUUGUCUUAUAGGGGUUUGUAUCCCUUAAAGAUGGGGGGGUACCAACAUGGGGUCCAGAAAGAUGUGGUUUUCUCCCAUUGGCCUUGCCCAGUUACCUUAUCAGUCCUUGUCCAACAGGGGACUUAGGGGUGGAAAUGUCCCAUAAGUCUCAUGGUUUCUUUGCCCUUCUCUUCCCGUAAACUGAGUCACAGGGGAUUAGAGAUUAAAAUGUCCCUCUGGGCGUAGGUACACUCCCUGUGGGCCUGUGGGGAUGUUACUCCCUGGAGCCCUUAAGCCACAAAUGUCAAUCAAUAGCCCUAUCAAAGAAUGCAUCGAAGCCCAUGCUCCUGCACUGACUACCCAAGUUACUAUUCUGCCUCAAUAAUCAUGUUCCUAUAGCUGCUUCACUUUUUGAUCUAACUGCUUGUCAUUUGAUUGUAACACAGGUUUGGCCAUGAGAUGGCAGCACACCUUAAGCAGUUGUGUUUGUGAGUAAGUCUUAAAGGAGAAGCUGAAGUUGAAUCUCUGGUUCUCGGCCUUCCAGUGUACACCAAAAUCUAUAAUGUAGAUAUCCCUCUUACCCUUGUGAAGCCCUCCACUAACUCCAGUCACCCUUGAUGGCUAAACAUAUCCCAUCUUCAUGCAUAGACUCUACAUGCUCCUACAUCCUCAGAACGACUGAGUUCUCUUCCUCUCUUAGCAUUAUUAUCUCAGAGGAAAUACCUUGUGGUAUACACAUUUUUAGAUUAGAUCUGCUUUUUCAAGAACACAGCCCUUGGCAGGCUUGUCCUUAGGUAGAGCAACUGGGGUGGCCUUCCAAACUAUGUUUGGGUGGGGCUCAUAGGAGAGAGAUCAAGGGUCUGAACAUUAUUAAAUUCAACUUCGAAUUUCUAUCUAACAGGUUCCCGAGGAGUCAACAAAGUGCUAAGGCUGGGACCGCUUAGGGCACUUCUAGAGAUGGCCUGCCCCUUAAUCUAUCCUAAAGAUAACAUUUCAAAUCAAUGGGAAAACAGACUGUAUUAUAAAACUAGCUAUCUGUCUGAGAAAAAAAUAGACUCAAAUCACCAUGCAAAGAAAGGUAUAUCAAAAAUGUAAAUGUUAAAAAAACUGAAAAGGAACUAGAUAACAGCACACACAUUAUUUACUGUGUGCUCAGCACCAUUCUAAAUACUGUGCAUAUAUGUUCACUCACUUAAUCCUCACCACAGUCUCCACCCAUUUUACUGGUGAGAAAACUAAGGCAGAGAGAUUAAGGGUCAUGCAACUGAUAGGGACCAGAGCUAGGAUCUGAGGCUAAGAAAUCUGGCUCCGGGACCUCUACUUCUUACAGAGGACCACUGCACCGUGCUGCUGCCCUAGGAGGAAAUGCAUGGAACUAUGUUCAUUUAUAGCUUGGGGGCAGGAAGACCUUUCUUCAAUGUGAUCAGGAGCCAUAAAGAUAAAAAUGAUAGAAAUUCUAAAGAACAUAUACAACAACCAAAGACACCAAAACUAAAAUUAGACUAAUCACUAAUUUGGAGAGAAUAAUUGCAAUACAUAACUGAUAGGAGUUCCCAUCGCAGCGCAGUGGAAACGAAUCCGAAGGAACGAUGAGGUUGUGGGUUUGAUCCCUGGCCUUGCUCAGUGGGUUAAGGAUCCAGCGUUGCCGUGAGCUCCAUUAAAAGGAAUGACAGAUUUCUAUGUACUGACAAGAAAGACACUUAUGCUAUACCGAGUGAAAAAAAUAAUAUAUAUAAGAAUAUAUUUAAUAUGAUCCCAUUUUUGGUAAAAAUCCCUUCCAUUCUCCCAUAAAUUCUAAAUUAUCUGGAGGAUCAGUCCAUCUCUCUAUAUAUGUACAUAGAAAAUAUUUGUAAGGAUACAUACCAAACCGUUAACAGUGGUUUUCCUAGGGAAAGAACCUCAACCUUCAGUGUACUGAAUUUCUAUUACUAAAUUGUUCAUCUGCUAUGAACAUCUAUUUUUCCUAUAAUUUAAAAAAAUGAAUGAGGAGUUCCAGUCAUGGCUCAGCGGUUAAAAAACCUGCCUAUAUCUAUGAAGUUCAGUAGCCUUGCUCCGUGGGUUAAGGAUCUGGCAUUGACAGGAGCUGUUGUGUAGGUUGCAGAUAAGCUUGGAUCUGAGAGUUGCUGUGACUGUGGUGUAGGCCGGCAGCUGCAGCUCCAAUUCAACCCCUAGCCUGGGAACUUCCGCAUGUCCUGGGUGCAGCCCUAAAAAGACACACACACACACAAAAGAAAGAAAAAGAAAAAAAGAAAGAGGAAGGAAGGAAGGGAAGAAAAUGAAUGAAAUGACUAAUUUAGGAGAAAGGAAAUAUGUAUUGGAAAGACAUUAGGGGCUCAUAAAAUCAACAGGAAACUCUAAGUUCAGGCUCACAGAAUCAGUAUGUAGGAACCCAAGCAGCUCUUCAUGAUGGCUGUGAAGAACCAUCCUUACUUAGAGUAGUCGAAGUCAUAAAACCAGUUUGAAAUUAGAAUGGUAGUUGCCAGGGGAUGGGGAAGGGGGGUGGAGAGGUAAUGUUUAUAGGGUAUAGAGUUUCAGUUUAACAAGAUGCAAGGGGUUAUGGACAUGGGUGCUACCGAUAGCUGCCCAACACUGUGAAUGGUUUUAAUACCACUGAACUGUACACUGAAAAAUGGCUAAGAUGGUCUAUUUUAUGUUAUAUGUAUUUCACCACAAUUUUUAAAAAUGGGAAAAAUGGAGUUCCCGCUGUGGCACAAUGGGAUUGGCGGUGACUUGGGAGCACUAGCUUGGGACAGUGGGUUAAGGAUCCAGUGCUGCUGCAGCUGCAGCUUGGGUGGCGACUGCAGCUCAGAGCUGAUCCCUGCCCAGGAACUCUGUAUGUUGUGGGGUGGCCAAAAAUGAGAAAAAAAAAGGGGUGGGGGUUGGGGGAGGUGGGGGGAACUAUCUUCACUCCUUAAGUGUCUGUAGCCAGGGAGAAUUUUCUCAACUGGCCCAGCACAAGCCUCAGGCCCCAGGCCCUAGCUGUAUUAGUUCAGACCGGGAAGGCUCUCCCCUCUCCAGAUUUGAUGGUAGGAUGCAAGCACCUAAGUUUGCCUGCUCACUAAAACUGCACUCAGUGGAGGAGAUGUAAUUCCUGAAAGGUAAUCCAAGACCAGUUAGAAGAGGGACCUGGAUUCAGGACAGCCUGCGGUGACAGAUGUCUGCUCUUAGGCUGUUUGACAUCUACAUCCACUCUGGCAUGACUGGGAUACAAGGUUGUGAAAGAAGAUUUCUAGAUUGGAGCCUGUGCACAAAAGGUCACAAAUCUGAAACGUUUUCUUUCUUUUUUUUGUUUUUUGGAAUUUUAGGGCCGAGCCUGCGGCACAUGGAAGUUCCCAGGCUAAGGGUUGAAUUGGAGCUGUGGCUGACAACCUAUGCCACAACCACAGCAAUGCCAGAUGCGAGCUACGUCUGCGACCUACACCACAUCUCGAGGCAAUGCUGGAUCUUAACCCACUGAGACAGGCCAGGGAUUGAACCCGCAUCCUCAUGGAUACUAGUUACGUUCAUAACCAGCUGAGCCACAAUGGGAACUCCUGGGAAGUUCAUUUUUAAAUCUCUGGACUGGAGUUCCCACAGUGACACAGCGGGUUUAUGAUCUGGCUGGUCCCUGUGUUAAUGAUCCCUGCCUGGCCUGGUGCAAUGGCUGCAGCUGCAGCUUGGGUCACAGCUCCAGCUUGGAUUCGAUCCCUGGUCCAGGAACCUCCAUAUGACAUGGGAGUAGCCAAAAAAGAAAAAGAAAAAAAACCUUUUUUUAAAUCUCUGGACUUUUUUUCAUUGUAAGAAGACCCACUUGGCUUCUGUUUCCUUUCUUCUCCCUUCCUUGUUUUCUUGGCAUGGCUUCCCAAUGAGAUUAAUCAGAAAGAUUCUCAAGCAUCGAGCAAUAUGCUAAAUCAGAGCCUUUUUAAAAUUGAAGAAUAAUUGACUUAUAAUGUUGUGUUAGUUUCUUGUCAACAGAAAAGUGAUUCAUUAUGUGUAUGUGUGUGUGUGUAUUCUUUUUCAGAUUCUUUUCCAUUAUAGUUUAUUACAAGGUAUUGAAUAUACAGUUGGGCCUUAUUGUUUAUUUACUUUAUAUACAGUAGUUUGUAUCUACUCAGAGGCUUUCUGUGUGUGGAACCCAGGAAAUGAGAAGGUAAAAGGAUGAGGCAAAUGCUGCGCUCAAUGUGAAGUCUCAGGGUCCAAAAACUAAGGGGGCUGCUCCCAGUUCCAGGCCAGCAACAUAAAGAAACAAUACAGAGUGAGUCUGAGACAUUCUACUGAGCAGGAUUUGCUUACAGCUUAUAAAAAUUAUUACUUACUAUUUGCUACCUGCAAAAGAGCACAUUAACACCCUUGUAGGAGCUCCUGCCAUGGCUCAGUGGUUAACAAAUCCGACUAGGAACCAUGAGGUUGCAGGUUCGAUCCUUGGCCUUGCUCGGUGGGUUAAGGAUCCGGCAUUGCCGUGAGCUGUGGUGUAGGUUGCAGACAUGGUUCAGAUCUAGUGGUGUUGUGGCUGUGGUGUAGGCCGGCAGCUACAGCUCCAACUGGACCCCUAGCCUGGGGACCUCCAUAUGCCG